UAUCAUUAAAUUACAAAUUAUUACAAACCAAUGAUAGCCAAAUUACAGUAAUAAAGAAUAAAAUAAGAUGUUAUUUUAUAGGGAGCCUUGAAUCAGGCCCAUUCUUCCAACCUUACCCUUUUUAAGUUUUACAGCCUUGACACGGUCAGGGUGCGUCAAAGCUCCGUUGCGCUCCCAUUGGGUCCCUGGCCAAUACAAGCACCCAAAGACUUACCAGAAUAUUGGACAUGUAUAGUGUGUAAUUACCAUCCUUGUGUGUCAAAGUUCAGUGAGUGCUCAGAUGUACUCAAAGAAAUGCUCACACGAAGGGGGUGGGACUUAAUUUCUUGGAGCAAUGUGAAAUGCAGGAAAGAGAGAAAAAUUCAUAGUUUAAAGAGUUUUUCUGAAAAUUGGAG
rnacentral:lncRNA from 1 species